UACGAAGGGGGCUAGCGUUGCUCGGAAUGACUGGGCGUAAAGGGCGCGUAGGCGGAUGGCACAGUCAGAUGUGAAAUUCCCGGGCUUAACCUGGGGGCUGCAUUUGAUACGUGUUGUCUUGAGUUCGGAAGAGGGUCGUGGAAUUCCCAGUGUAGAGGUGAAAUUCGUAGAUAUUGGGAAGAACACCAGUGGCGAAGGCGAUCACCUGGGGUUGUUCUGACGCUGAGGAGCGAAAGCUAGGGGAGCAAACGGG
rnacentral:rRNA from 1 species